CUUUAAAAAUCUGGAUCAAGCUGAAAAUUGAAACGACACAUCUUUAAUGGUGUGUUCGAGUCUCUCAAAUUAUCGCAAACCGGUGAUGAAUCGAAAGAAACAUCUUCGG
rfam:Enterobacter cloacae SCF1, complete genome.